AUGACUUGUGUCACAUCGGUGAGAUAUUCUGUGAGAUUCAAUGGAACCCUCUUGGAUUCAUUUGCACCAUCGUGUGGUCUUCGGCAAGGUGAUCUGCUCUCCCCUUUCUUGUUUUUAUUCGUCGCUGACGGUCUAUCUGCAAUUCUGAGACAUCGUGUUGAAGUGGGCUUGAUUACUCCAAUAAAGAUUUGUAGGCGUGCUCCUGGCAUAUCACACCUCCUGUUUGCAGAUGACACACUCUUAUUUUUUGAGGCAUCUCGUGCACAAGCUGAACAAGUUAAAUCCUGUCUCGACCUGUAUGCAAGUGCUACAGGGCAACUACUGAACUAUAACAAGUGUUCUAUCAUGUUUGGUGAAGCAUGUCCGAUGAAUGCCCAAGAAUAUGUACGGGAUGUUUUAACUUUUACAAGCAUUGAAUUUGAAGAGAAGUACUUGGGGUUACCAACACCUAAUGGUAAAAUGUCUAAAGGUAGAUUUCAAAAUCUACAGAUGCAGCUGAUGAAGAGGCUAGUGCAAUGGGGAGAUGGGCACCUAGCCCAACCGGGUAGGGAGGUUUUGAUUAAAUCCGUUGCUGAAGCCCUUCCAGUGUUUGUCAUGGGAGUUUUUAAACUUCCCUACUCUGUCUGUGAUGAUCUCACGAUGAUGGUCAGGAACUUCUAUUGGGGUGCAGCCCGAGGGAAACAGAAGGUGCACUGGAAGUCUUGGCAAAAACUGCAACAACCAAAA
rnacentral:rRNA from 1 species